AAUAUCCAUAAGAGAAGGUGUUGGUUGGUCGACCAAGGGCGGCGGCGCCAUCUUCCAAAAAACUAACCAUCCUUCUGUAUCGGAACAUAACCCAACCCAAAACCCUAACUACUAAACCCCAAAAAUCAACUAGAAUUGGCCUCCAAAACUCGGUUCAAGCAGCGAUUCAAGCAUAAAAACAACCAACAAAACCGUAAAGCCAUGAAAAUCAAGCCAAACUGAAGAAUCACAACAAACCCUACGCUACUAGCAAUUUAGUCAGGUACGAAGCACAAAAUGCAAACAUGAUAAAGGCGGAUCCGUUACAAGUGAAACAAGGAAAGAAAAUAACUACCAUCCGGAAGUUAUCGGGGGAAGCUUCUCUCAGGUGCAUCUCUAAAACUCUAGAUUUCUAUUUAAUUCCUCUCCUUUACUCUACUCUCCUUCUCCCCCUUCUCUUGAUGCUUUUGUUGUGACUAUUGUGUUCUGUUUUUGUGUUUUUGUUGCUUUAGUGUAGUUGUGUGUUAAGGUUUUAGCUCAACUGUAUCAAAGCUUCAAGGUGAAGCUCUGAGUAGUUAGAAUCUAGAGCUAAAAUGAGGGUAUUUGGGUGUAGUAUUUAGCAGAGUAAUGGUGCUUAAAUGUUGAUGCCAAUGAAUGAAACAUUGUAGGGUAUUUAUAUAAAGUGAGAUGAGGGUGUGAGGUACGUGUGAGCAGAAUUGAGGGAGAUAUUCUCCUCUCUUAAGCAUCUGCCAUUUUGCAAAUUGGAUUAGGAUAAGAAUGAGGAAAAAAAGUUGUUAUAGGGCUUUGCAAUCAUUCCUGAUUUUGUAGGAUUACGAGCGAGGUUUGCGUGAGGUAAUGUUGAUAAAGGGUGAGGAUGAGGUGAGAUCAAAUUAUGUCGUGAUACAAUUGAAGUGUGUUUGUUGUAAGGGGAAUAUGAGUUUCAAUUAUGUGAGGUAUGUGUGACUUGUGGUUCCCAAUUGCUCAAUUGUAUGUAUGAUGGUAUGUAUGUGUGAUGUUAUGUAUGUACAAUGUUGUUGUUUUUUUGCACUUUGUUGAAUUAAUUUCUUUUUUUAUUUUGAAUUAGUUUGAAUGUGAUGAAUGGUUUGAAUGCAACAUGUAUUAAGAUGUAUGAUGUUCUCAUUUGUAAUUUGUGUUGUUUGUAAGGUAAUGUGUGAUAUGUAUAAGGUUAAGCAAUAAUGAAGAUGAUGCAACACGGCUGGUGAAGAGAUGCAGUAGUGAUGGUUAUGAAGUGUGCAUGAGGAAUGAAAGCAUGCACACACAAUGAUGUUGAUGCUGGAUGAACGUACAUGAUGGAACAUGGGUGGGUGGAAGAAUUCACACACUACACCUGAGAGGAGUACGAAGAGGAAUUUGCACAAAGUUGAUUUCAUUUCUUUUUCUCUUUUUUUUCUCAAUUUUUUUAGUAAAAGUUUGCACUUGUUUCUAAACAUAAUUUAGAGUGCACUCUAACUGUAUUUUUAUUUGACAUUAAUAAAACAAAAGUUUAUCUUAAAACUCUCACUUUUAUAUUUUGUAAAAUAAAAAUAAUAAUCUAAAACCAAAGGUUGUUUCAUGCUAGAAAUAUUUCCUUAUGAUGACACACUAUUUUUGUGAUGAUAAAUGCAAAUGCAACCAAGAAUAUCAAGAGAAUCAAACUCUAAGGAUCAAGCAUUUUGAAAAGGGGACAAAAUGUCAACUCAAUAAAAAGCCAAAAACAAAAGUCAAUACUUGUACCUUUUACCUAAACUCAAAUAUUAGAAAAGAGAAGAUUAAUGCAAAUAAGAUCUUGGCCAAAAGUCCACAGAGUUAAACUGUUGACUUUAAUUCAAGAGAAAAAUGCUAGUGAGUGAUAGUGAUGCAAAUGAAUUAUUAGUAGAGAAUUAAGAGUUAAACUGUUGACUUUAACUCAAGAGAAAAAUGCUAGUGAGUGAUAGUGAUGCAAAUGAAUUAUUAUUAGAGAAUCAAAAUUAAAUGAUCAACUCUUGGACCUAAUACAUCUAAUACCCAUUCAUAAACAUAGUGAAAAAAAAAGAUUCAUAUGAAAUGACACUGAGAUCUAUGAUUAAAAAAACAAUUAUCAAAAGUCAACUCUUGGAUUUUUGACCCAUAAUCCUCAAUCACAAAGGCAAUAAUGCUCUUCAGAGACCCAUAUGAAAUCAAAUACUCUAGGUUUAUCAUCCAUCUGGAACCCUGAGAAAUGACAUGAAAGGAAAAAUGAUCUAAGGCUAAGGAAUACUCUUGAUUCCUCAAUCAGCAGACGAAUGCAUACCCAUAAGGUCAAAUGACAAUGCUAGAAACCUUGACUUUUCAUCUAAACUCUAAAGAAUGUUUUAUGUUUGAUUGAAUGCAUGGUCAAAUAAAAUGAUCAAACUAUGUUGAUGCAGAUGAAAAACUUAGGGUAAAAUUUAGGGUAUGACACGUAGGUGUCGUUCUCCAGGAGGAAAUGUUUCACCAACCAACAAUGAGAAAACAUGGGUCCGCACUUACCUUCUACUCCCGACUCAACCCCAUAGGUGGUCGCACAAGCCAGGGGAUGAAUGAGAGUAACCAUGAAAAACCAUUCCGCAAUCGGUGGAAAGUCAGGAAAGUCUUCAAAACCCGUAUCGCCGGCACCAAGAGGACCAAGUCACAUUCUCUUAGUUGGGAAGAGUACCCCUUUGGAAGCGAAAGAGUUGAAAGAACAAGCUGACAUAGGGGUUUCCCUUCAGAUAUUCAGACCAGUACAUAUAGGCUUUCACGUACGCCCAACCCGACGGAUGGAGGUGCGAAGGAGCCACCAUCCAAUAGUUAAAAGCACCAACCUCAAAUGCGGUAAAGGGAGGGCGAACACCCAAGGCCGAGAAGAGAUAUUCAUACACAGUGAUGGUAUAGUUACCAUACUCACUACAUAGUCUGCCAUGCCGCGCUAAUGGUCUCAAGUACAAGAAGAAAAAGCCUCAAAAGGAAAAAAGAGGUAAUUGCUCGAGAAGGAAGAGAAAAGAAAGGUCUAAAAUGGAAGUGACUCUAGUUCUUCCUAUACUUAUGUGCUGACAAUAUGAAAAGAAAGGCGUCCUAUCAACAAUCACAUUCCUCGCACGUAACACUCAAGUGUUUUAGUUUUCAAGAAUGACUAUAAUGACUCCUCUGAAUAGACGUUUGACGUUCCAAACACCAUAAGCAUGCAAAAGGGUGAUCGGUAGCCGAUGACGAAAUUCUUCAAACCCUGACAAUAAUAUUCAAGCACGAGGGUUUGAGGGCAACUUUUCUGAACCGACCAUCUUGAGAUAGGCUGCUCCGGGCUAAGACUUAUCAGCUGACCACACAAUCAUGUUGAUGAAGUCUUCACCUUAUCACAUAACUACCCUGCAUCUCGCAGCACGAGAUUUUCAUCUCAGAAUAAUAUAUAAUUAUAUAUAUAUUUAUAUUAUAUAUAUAAUAUAUAUAUAUAUAUUAUAUUAUAUAUAUAUAUAUAUAUAUAUAUAUAUAUAUAUUAUAUAUUAUAUAUAUAUAUUAUAUAUAUAUAUAUAUAUGGAAUGACAUGAUUUUAAUUAAUAAAUUUCAAACACAAUUUAAAUACUCUUUAUUCUUUUAUAUAAUGACUUGAAUAUCAGAGUGUGAAUGUUACAAAUACAUUACACUCUACCGCAUCAAAAACUUCCACGUCUAUCUCAAUUUCUGGAUCCAAAACAAAACAGUGCCCCAAUAACAUAUUGAAAAGCCACCCUAAAUGUUGAUGGAACAACUCUAUAAUAAGAAUAUUUCUAUUCGGAAACUUUUUCUACUUCUGUAUAUGCAUAAUGCGUUAUUAUGCAUGUACCAAAUCAAGGAAUAUAUCCAACUUAAUUUUGAAAUGAUAGAGACUGGCACUGCAACAUACAUUAUGUCAUCUAGCUUGUUGUUGCUACGCACCUUCGCCAUAAAAUAUAUCUAAAUGUUAUUCCAAAAUUAAUGGGCAUGCAUGGAUACGUAACUCAGAAUCUUCAAAUCUCACAAUUUCAUUGUGGUUAGUUUAAACCUAUUUUAUUUUCUCUCUCUUAAAUUAUAAACCUUCACACUUAAGAUGAAAUUCACAAUGGAAACUUAUAAUUAGAGACAUAGAGUAGUUGCAAAUACUUCAAAGACAAAGUUAUAGAAAUCAAAAUUAUAUUGAAAGUAACCAAGAUUAUUCUAAUACAAUGCAUAUUGUUAAAGCCUCAAUGUCUCACAAAAAUAGAGGGGUUGGUUAAUUAUAUUAUAAAAAAAAGGCCAUUUUUGGAUGUUUGCAUUUGCACUAGAAUAUGAGCUUCCAUGAUAUGUAUUUGCCUAAAGCCAAAGAGCACCAGCAUCUCUAAGCAUUUUCUUGAGUGAUCCAUUGAGAUGAAGGGUCAUGACUAUGUUGGCUGAACCAACAAACUUGCCACCAAUGAACACUGCCGGAACACUAGGGUUACAUCCUAAUCUUAUGAGAGCCCAUUCCAUUUCCUUUCCUCUUUUAUCUUCAUCUAGCUCAUAGAUUGCUGGACCAACCCCUUGCUCAUAAAAUAGCCUCUUGAUUGCAUGGCUCAUCCCACAUGAACUCUUGCUAAAGAUCACCACCGCCUUUUGCGACGCCAAUUUCGAUACUCGAUCCAUCUAAAUGUAUAAAUAUGAAGUUUUGGAGUAUUUUUUAAAGUAUAUAAUUAUAUAUUAAUUAUAUAUUGCAAUAUACGAUUUGAUUCUGAUCUCGAGAAUUCGCUCGAGUCCGGAGAAAACCCUAAAAUUUUAAAGAUAAGAUUGAUCUAAGAGAAGGGAAAACAACUCAAUUGAAGACUAGAGAGUGUUUUGUAUUA
rnacentral:lncRNA from 1 species